UGAUCAUUGUGGCUGGAAUAUAGUAGAUAUAAUCAAUACAUUAGGUCUUUCUUUUAGCCUGUGACUUAAACCCAUGAUAGAGAAAAAAGACCCAAGAAGCAAGUUCAAUGACUCCAAAAAGAAUUGAGACAUAUAAAGAAAACAGUUCAGAGAACGAUGAUGAUAGCAAAUUUUUCUACAACUCAAGGCAAUGUUAUGUAUGUGUUGUAUGUACUUAAGUGUCUGUGGUUGGUGGUUAGUAUUAUUUUUCUCAUGUUUGGCCUCAGUAAGGCACAACUAGACCAGAUAAUGAGCAUCUCAGACCUAAAGAAGAAAGCCAAGUAAUAUCCUCUGAACAUUUGAGUUAUGGAGAGUCAUCGUGUUUUUUGAGCAAUAAGAUGAACAAGUGACCUGCCCCAGAACUUCUGUGCUGUUCUUUGUUAUGAGAGAAAGGUUGUAAGACAUAGUUUGGAUGCAGAAUUGCAACUUCCAAAAAAAUUCUUGUGGCUUAUGGGAAAGAGUAUUUGAAAGUGGGAUAAUUUAAAAACACAUGUUCACAAGAGCUAUAGACUCCAAUCAUAGACAUAUAAUUGGAGCCAAUUAGUUUUAAAAACUCAAGUUCAUUCGAAACAUUUCCAAAUUCAAUAGGAAAAAAAUCAUAACUUCAAAUUUUAAUUUUGAGAUAUUUUAAAUAAAACAUGCUAUUUGUGAACAUCUGCUAAGAAAGGGCAAAAUCUUGCAAAUAUGUGAGUGUAGAUGACUUAGAGAGCAGCUCAGGAUCAUGAAUGCUUGUAAAGGAAGUUGAGGCAGAGUUCUACUUGUUCAUGGCUGCAUAAUCAACCACCCUGGAACUUUUGACCUAAAACAAUACCUGUGGUCUCUUGACCUAUGGUGCUUGUUGGGCUCCUCUGCACAGUACUUGCUUAGGAUUUCAUGUGGUUUCAGUCCAAUGGUGGUUGGAGCUGGAACAAUCUGAAGGUCCCAUUGGGUUGGACAUCCAAGAUGGCUCCUCGCAGGGCUGAUAGUUUAUGCCAGCUGUUGACUAAGAGCUUAGCUGGAGCUGGGGUUUAGCUAUUGGAGCACUAAGGCAUGGUGCUCCUCUUUUGGUUUGGGUUUCUAAGAGAGAAGAAGCAUGGUGACCAAGUUCUAAGAUAGAACAUGCUAAGAACUAGCACUUCAGGAGACAAAAAUAGGAAUUGGAAGACUUCCUUAGACCUAGCCUGAGAAGUCCCACAGUGUCACUGCUGCUUUGUUCCAUUUGUCACACAAGAAGUCCAGAUUUUCUGCAGGAGGAGACUGUUCAAUGUGAUAGAUACUGGGAGUACUGGGGUGUAUCUUUGAUAUAGUUAGAUGAGAAAAUGCUCUCAUUUGGAGUAGGAUUUUUGAAAAUUAUUUUCAUUUCCAUGGAAAAAGGAGUAAGGAUGCUUCAUCUCCUGUUCUUCAUAAAAUGCAGCCGGUUCCCUUGGACUUUCUACCAUGCAACUCAUAACAUGUAUACACAGGAUUUGUGAGGCAAAAGGAAUCAGCCUUAG
rnacentral:lncRNA from 1 species